GGGGGCGAUCGGAUUUGACUGGUUCACCGCAGGUUGGGGUGGCGUGUCGUGGUUGAUCAGUUGGCCACGUUAAAAGCUGAUCAAAAAUCAACUGCCACUGAAAAGCAG
rnacentral:tmRNA from 1 species